AUUGAACGCUGGCGGCAUGCCUUACACAUGCAAGUCGAACGGCAGCACGGGGGCAACCCUGGUGGCGAGUGGCGAACGGGUGAGUAAAGCAUCGGAACGUACCCGGAAGUGGGGGAUAACGUAGCGAAAGUUACGCUAAUACCGCAUAUUCUGUGAGCAGGAAAGAGGGGGAUCGCAAGACCUCUCGCUUUCGGAGCGGCCGAUGUCGGAUUAGCUAGUUGGUGGGUAAAGGCCUACCAAGGCGACGAUCCGUAGCUGGUCUUAGAGGAUGAUCAGCCACACUGGGACUGAGACACGGCCCAGACUCCUACGGGAGGCAGCAGUGGGGAAUUUUGGGACAAUGGGGGCAACCCUGAUCCAGCCAUGCCGCGUGAGUGAAGAAGGCCU
rnacentral:rRNA from 1 species